GCUUUAUAUUAAAUUGAUUAUUAUUAAUUUAGAAGAAUUUUUUUAAUAGUUAGUGAAGUAUUUUGUUGGGGUGACAGGAAGAUAUAUAAAACUCUUUUUAGUUUAAUUACAUUGAUUUAUGAAUUGUUGAUCCAUUUUUAGUGAUUAUAAGACUAAGU
rnacentral:rRNA from 1 species